AAAAAAAAAAUUUGUAAGUCGUUCUGGAUAAGAGUGUCUGCUAAAUGACGUAAA
rfam:Salmo salar isolate Sally breed double haploid chromosome ssa22, whole genome shotgun sequence.